rnacentral:rRNA from 1 species
GACGAACGCUGGCGGCGUGCUUAACACAUGCAAGUCGAACGGAAAGGCCUGCUUUCCCUUGUGGAUUGCGGGUACUCGAGUGGCGAACGGGUGAGUAACACGUGAGUGAUCUGCCCCCAACUUGGGUAUAAGCCUGGGAAACUGGGUCUAAUUCCCGAUAGGACUGCAGGGUGGUGCCUGUGGUGGAAAACGAUUUUCUAGUGGUUGGGGAUGAGCUCGCGGCCUAUCAGCUUGUUGGUGGGGUAAUGGCCUACCAAGGCGGCGACGGGUAGCCGGCCUGGGAGGGUGGACGGCCACAUUGGGACUGAGAUACGGCCCAGACUCCUACGGGAGGCAGCAGUGGGGAAUAGUGCACAAUGGGCGGAAGCCUGAUGCAGCGACGCCGCGUGGGGGAUGACGGCCUUCGGGUGGUAAACUCCUUUCGACCGCGAGGAAGCCACCUGGUUGGAAGGGUGGUGACGGUAGUGGUAGAAGAAGCACCGGCUAACUACGUG